GAUGUCGACUCAUCACAUCCUGGGGCUGGAGAAGGUCCCAAGGGUUCGGCUGUUCGCCGAUUAAAGUGGUACGCGAGUUGGGUUCAGAACGUCGUGAGACAGUUCGGUCCUCUAUCCGCUGUGGGCGUUUGUGAUUUGAGGGGUUCAUUCUCUAGUACGAGAGGACCGAGAAUGACGAACCUCUGGUGUUCCGGUUGUCACGUCAGUGGCAGCGCCGGGUAGCUAUGUUCGGAAGGGAUAAGCGCUGAAAGCAUCUAAGCACGAAGCCCACCUUAAGAUGAGCUUUCUUUUAAGAAGCGUAGAAGAUUACUACGUUGAUAGGUCGCAGGUGUAAAGGUGGUAACAUCAAAGCCGAGCGAUACUAAUUAUUCGUACGCUUUUUCUUU
rnacentral:rRNA from 1 species